rnacentral:tmRNA from 1 species
GGGGGCGACAUGGCUUCGACGCGGAUGUCAAAACCCGAGGUGCAUGCCGAGGUCGCAAAUCAACCUCGUUAAUCAAUUUGCAACCUAAGCUAGUUGCGAACGACGACAACUACGCUCUAGCAGCUUAAAAAGCCUGCUAGUGCCCGACCGGUAAGUGUCUGUGCUUCCGGACCCGGGUAUCGACUCUUACAGACUCGCGGCAAGGCCCCGCUUCGGGCCGACCCGUUAAGAGCAAACGAAGAUACGCGCAGGUUUUCCCUUUUCGUCGGGUAACCUCGCGCCGACAAUCAAAGACGAAAUAAGCAUGUAGACCCGAGGGUCGAGAAUCCGCGGACGCGGGUUCGAUUCCCGCCGCCUCCACCA